UAGCGGUGUGCAAGGCUUCCAAGAGCCAUGA
rnacentral:piRNA from 1 species